UCGUAUCUUGAAAUCUCUUUCGUAACAAAAGACAAUAUUUUCUGAAGCUAAGCAGGGUCGGACCUGGUUAGUACUUGGAUGGGAGACCGCCCUGGAAUACCAGGUGCUGUAAGCC
rnacentral:rRNA from 1 species